CGGGAUAGCUCAGUUGGUAGAGCAGAGGACUGAAAAUCUCUU
rnacentral:tRNA from 1 species